rnacentral:lncRNA from 1 species
AAAAUUGGAAGAGCCAUCUAAACCAAAACCAGAAGAAGCUCCCGAACCACAACAACCUAGUCCAAAACUUGAGACACCAAAAACAUCAGAGCCUUCUAAACCAAAGGAACCUAAGCCAGACGCACCAAAACAGCAAUCUCCUAAACCAGAAUCACCAAAACAUGAGUCACCAAAAUCAGAACAGCCGAACCCCAAACCUGAGUCACCAAAGCAAGAGUCUCCUAAGCAACAACCACCAAAAACAGAGACACCACAAAUGGGGUCACCGCCAGUAAAACCACCAGUAUCAAAUGAUCCGUACGAAGCAUCUCCUAUUAA